UACGUAGGAUGCGAGCGUUGUCCGGAAUUAUUGGGCGUAAAGAGAACGUAGGUGGCUUGUUAAGUUCGGUCUUAAAGACCGGGCUCAACCCCGGGAAUGGACUGAAAACUGGCGAGCUAGAGGAUGUUAGAGGACGGUGGAAUUCCCAGUGUAGCGGUGAAAUGCGUAGAUAUUGGGAGGAACACCAGUGGCGAAAAGCGGCCGUCUGGAACAAUUCCGUGACACUGAGGUUCGAAAGCUCGGGGAGCAAACAGGA
rnacentral:rRNA from 1 species